rnacentral:rRNA from 1 species
AAGCUCGUAGUUGAAUUUCGGGAUUUACCCAUUGGUCAGGCUUAAUUGUCUGUACUGGUGAGAUAAAUCUCUAUCUUCUGAGGAACUUUCAUGCCAUUUAUUUGGUGUGAUUGGAAACCAGGACUAUUACUUUGUAAAAAUUAGAGUGUUUAAAGCAGGCUAACGUCUGAAUAUAUUAGCAUGGAAUAAUGAAAUAGGACGGCUUGGUUCUAUUUCGUUGGUUUCUAGGAUCACCGUAAUGAUUAAUAGGGAUAGUUGGG